AUGGCCACAGGCCAUCGUAGUAGCUCCAAUUGGGUUUUAAUACCGGCUCACUGCAAGAAGAUCCUGAACCCAAGAAUCCAGCCCCAGGGUGUCUCUACGGGCCGGCAAAAGGAGCAGGCGGGCGCGCCCCCCACCAAAGCCGACGAUCUAUUUUCAGCAAACAAUUUGAUUGGCAGAAUCCAGGUGAGGUGCAUUCACUUUGCAAAUGUCAGCAGGACACAGUAGCUCCGCAUACUCUCAGGAGUCUUCUGUGACCUUUGACCAAUACCUGCGGUGUCCUAUGGACGGAGAGACAGCCUCCUCACUGUGGGAGAGAAGCCAGGGCCUCGAGAGGCGAGGGCAGCGGCCCAAAGUCACACAGCCGGUUAAUGCCAAAGGCUUGACUUGGUAACCAGGUCUCUUGACUCCAAACUCUAUGCUCUUUCUAACAGUUCUGCGGACUCCUGCAAUUUCUCUAAAUUAGCUGACUGUGUAUCAGAAUCUUGUCAUUCAUAGGGGUUCAUGUUUGUCAAAGCUCAUUGAAUUGUACAUUUAAAAUCUGUACAGUAAAAAGAAAAAAGGAAAAAUCUGUACAGGAUAUUGUUGUAAAUUUAACACAAUUAAAAAAGAGAGAAAAUGGUAUGGCAGGGUCCCAUUUCAUGAGGGGGGACAGUGUCUAAGGUCAGCAUUUAUGACAAAAAUAAUAUAUAAUAUAACAGGCUCAAGAAAAGCCUUAGGAAGGUAUUAAUAGCACAUAGGAGUCAGCACGGUUUCUUUGGGCAUUUUAACAACCGACUGUUCAGAGGGUUCAGGUUAGAUGCUGGCCGGCAUGUAGGGGUUGGGGUGUGAGAAAAAAAGAAUAUGUCUCUACAAUAGGGUGAUAUUCAAUGUGGUGAGAUGCAUAUGUGGGAACCACGUCUGCCAAGGGAAUGGCAGCUUAUAGUAUCUCACCUUAGAUACACACACAUACACACACGCGCGCACACACACACACACAAACAGGCAGACCCCCUCUGAGCAGCUUCCUGGAGCAGGUUAACCAAGGGUGGAAGCCAGAGACAAGGAUCUGAGGGCUCCCGGGGCCCACCAGCAUGAGAGUGAAGUAGGGGAUAUUUCAGGGCCUGGCUGGGGAGGGCUGAGGGGAAGGGGUUGGAACAGGUUGGGAAGUUGAAACAAUGGAGAACACCUCAUUUAAGAGGAGAGGGCAGGGGUGGGAACCAGAAAAGGAGGAGGAGAUUAAAGGCUUGGAGGAGAUCAAAGAGACAGACAGUGGGAAGUAGCUUGGUUUUUGAGAAGAAGAAAACAAGUACCAAGGGCUGACCUGCUGCAACAUUACAGAACUAGUAAUUGUCCUUUGAUAAGUAAACAUCCUAAAAUUUGGAGUGAUGGGAAGCUCACCCACAAAGCAGAGUAUGUCUGAUGAGAGUUUAUAAGUUUCAGAAAGGUAGUUAGUUAUUUAUACAUAAAAAAGAAGAUUCCACAUUUCUUGGAAUCAAAAUUUGCUCUUUUGAGAAUUUUAAAGAGUCUGCCUAGAAUUGUGUUAAAAUAAUACAUAUGUUCACCUUGUACCCUUUAGGAUGGCUACUAUUGACAAAGAAAAAGAAAAUAAAUGUUGGAGUGGAUGUGGAGAAAUCGGAACCCUUGUACACUAUGGAUGAGAAUAUAUGGAUGAGAAUGUAAAGUAGUGCAGCUAUUAUACUAUGGAAAACAGUAUGUAGCUUCUUCAAAAAAUUAAAAAUAUAUCUAUUAUAUGAUCCAGCAAUUCCACUUUUGGGUAUAUAUCCAAAGCAAUGGAAAGUAGGAUCUUGAAGAGCUAUUUGCAUAUCCAUAUUCAUAGCAGCGUUAUUUGUAACAGCCAAGAGGUAGAAACAACCCCAAAAUCAACCAGUGAAGAAAAGGAUAACAAAUAUGGUUCAUACAAACAUACAAUGGAAUAUUAUCAAGCCUUAAAAUGGAAGGAAACUCUGCCACAUGCUACAACAUGAAUGCAACUUGAGGACAUUAUGCUAAAUGAAAUAAGCCAGUCAGAAAACAACAGAGGAUGGGGAAUACAUGUAAAUCCAUGGCUGAUUCAUGUCAAUGUAUGACAAAACCCACUACAAUAUUGUAAAGUAAUUAGCCUCCAACUAACAAAAAUAAAUGAAAAAAAAAAGAAAAGAAAACAACAGAUACGCUAUGAUUCCACUUAUGUGGGGCAGCUAAAACAGUCAAACCC
ensembl:lncRNA